rnacentral:misc_RNA from 1 species
AGAAACUGCUUUUGCACAUGUUCUGAAAUUUUUGAGACCAAACAUGACAAAAUGCACUUGAAAAACAAAUCUUAAUUACUUUAAUUACAAUAUUCAAGAUGAUGAUUUUCUCAACAAAAAAUGCAAAAAUAAUGUCAAAUAAAAACUACAAUAGAUUAAUGUGCACAAGUUAUCAGCAAAAGCUCAAAGUAUUUUUACUACCCAAGUAAUCGAG